GAUGAAGAACGUAGGGAAAUGCGAUAAGUAAUGUGAAUUGCAGAAUUCAGUGAAUCAUCGAAUCUUUGAACGCACAUUGCGCCCGCCAGUAUUCUGGCGGGCAUGCCUGUUCGAGCGUCAUUUCAACCAUCAAGCCCCAGGCUUGUGUUGGAGCCCUGCGGCUGCCGCAGCCUCCCAAAACCAGUGGCGGGCUCGCUAUCACACCGAGUGCAGUAGUUUACUCUUCGCUCAGGGCGUGUGGCGGGUGCUAGCCGUAAAACCCCCAACUUCUCAAGGUUGACCUCGGAUCAGGUAGGAAUACCCGCUGAACUUAAGCAUAUCAAUAAGCGGAGGA
rnacentral:misc_RNA from 1 species